CUGAAAAUGUUUAGAAUUUGAGUCUGAAAAUUAAACAAACAAAUGAUUAGAAAAAAUGGAAAUAAAAUUGAUUUGAAAAGAAGGAGAUUGAAAUAAGUGGAGAUAGAUUUAGCCAAAUUUUUUUUAUGGAUUUUUGAAGGAGAAAAGUCGAAUAUUGUUCUAAAAAAAAAUAAUAAUAAAGAGAGAUGGGAAAAUGAUAAAAAUGA
rnacentral:lncRNA from 1 species